rnacentral:misc_RNA from 1 species
UCCGAGUUGACCCCGGCAGUCUCUUAUGAGUCCCCACCAUUACGUGCUGGCAACAUAAGACGAGGGUUGCGCUCGUUGCGCCACUUAAGGCAACACCUCACGGCACGAGCUGACGACAGCCAUGCACCACCUGUGCAGGCUCCGUAGAGCUCCGGCUUUCACCGGCUUCACCCUGCAUGUCAAGCCCAGGUAAGGUUCUUCGCGUCGCAUCGAAUUAAGCCGCAUGCUCCGCCGCUUGUGCAGGCCCCCGUCAAUUCCUUUGAGUUUUAGCCUUGCGGCCGUACUCCCCAGGCGGGGCGCUUAAUGCGUUAGCUACGGCACGGAUCCCGUGGAAGGAAACCCACACCUAGCGCCCACCGUUUACAGCAUGGACCAC